rnacentral:misc_RNA from 1 species
UCCGGUUUGUCACCGGCAGUCACCUUAGAGUGCCCAACUAAAUGCUGGCAACUAAGAUCAAGGGUUGCGCUCGUUGCGGGACUUAACCCAACAUCUCACGACACGAGCUGACGACAACCAUGCACCACCUGUCACUCAUGUCCCCGAAGGGAACACUCUAUCUCUAGAGCUAUCAUGAGGAUGUCAAGACCUGGUAAGGUUCUUCGCGUUGCUUCGAAUUAAACCACAUGCUCCACCGCUUGUGCGGGUCCCCGUCAAUUCUUUUGAGUUUCAGCCUUGCGGCCGUACUCCCCAGGCGGAGUGCUUAAUGCGUUAACUGCAGCACUAAGGGGCGGAAACCCCCUAACACCUAGCACUCAUCGUUUACGGCGUGGACUAC